GUGGGGUAACGGCCUACCAAGGUAAUGAUACGUAGCCGAACUGAGAGGUUGAUCGGCCACAUUGGGACUGAGACACGGCCCAAACUCCUACGGGAGGCAGCAGUAGGGAAUCUUCCACAAUGGGCGCAAGCCUGAUGGAGCAACGCCGCGUGAGUGAAGAAGGUCUUCGGAUCGUAAAACUCUGUUGUUAGAGAAGAACAUGCAGGAGAGUAACUGUUCUUGUAUUGACGGUAUCUAACCAGAAAGCCACGGCUAACUAC
rnacentral:rRNA from 1 species